CCUACGGGAGGCUGCAGUAGGGAAUAUUGCUCAAUGGGGGAAACCCUGAAGCAGCAACGCCGCGUGGAGGAUGAAGGUUUUCGGAUUGUAAACUCCUUUUGUUAGAGAAGAUAAUGACGGUAUCUAACGAAUAAGCACCGGCUAACUCCGUUCCAGCAGCCGCGGUAAUACGGAGGGUGCAAGCGUUACUCGGAAUCACUGGGCGUAAAGCGCGCGUAGGCGGGAUAGCAAGUCAGAUGUGAAAUCCUAUGGCUUAACCAUAGAACUGAAUUUGAAACUGUUAUUCUAGAGUAUGGGAGAGGUAGGUGGAAUUCUUGGUGUAGGGGUAAAAUCCGUAGAGAUCAAGAGGAAUACUCAUUGCGAAGGCGACCUGCUAGAACAUAACUGACGCUGAUGCGCGAAAGCGUGGGGAGCAAACAGGAUUAGAUACCCCAGUAGUC
rnacentral:rRNA from 1 species